rnacentral:rRNA from 1 species
AUUGAACGCUGGCGGCAUGCCUUACACAUGCAAGUCGAACGGCAGCACGGGGGCAACCCUGGUGGCGAGUGGCGAACGGGUGAGUAAUACAUCGGAAUGUACCCAGUAGUGGGGGAUAACUAGUCGAAAGAUUAGCUAAUACCGCAUACGCACUAUGGUGGAAAGCGGGGGAUCGCAAGACCUCGCGCUAUUGGAGCAGCCGAUGUCCGAUUAGGUAGUUGGUGGGGUAAAAGCCUACCAAGCCUGCGAUCGGUAACUGGUCUGAGAGGACGACCAGUCACACUGGGACUGAGACACGGCCCAGACUCCUACGGGAGGCAGCAGUGGGGAAUUUUGGACAAUGGGGGAAACCCUGAUCCAGCAAUGCCGCGUGUGUGACG